AUUGAACGCUGGCGGCAGGCCUAACACAUGCAAGUCGAACGAGUGGCGGACGGGUGAGUAAUGUCUGGGCAACUGCCUGAUGGAGGGGGAUAACUACUGGAAACGGUAGCUAAUACCGCAUACCAUCAGAUGUGGCCAUCUGGGAUUAGCUUGAUGGUGGGGUAACGGCUAACCAAGGCGGCGAUCCCUAGCUGGUCUGAGAGGAUGACCAGCCACACUGGAACUGGGUCACUGUCCAGACUCCUACGUGAGGCAGCAUUGGGGAAUAUUGCACAAUGGGCGCAAGCCUGAUGCAGCCAUGCCGCGGGUAUGAAGAAGGCCUUCGGGUGUUAAAGUACUUUCAGCGGGGAGGCGUUACCCGCAGAAGAAGCACCGGCUAACUCCGUGCCAGCAGCCGCGGUAAUAC
rnacentral:rRNA from 1 species